GAUUUCUGUGAAAUGAAGCCCA
rnacentral:miRNA from 11 species